rnacentral:rRNA from 1 species
GUGGGGAAUUUUGGACAAUGGGGGCAACCCUGAUCCAGCCAUCCCGCGUGUGCGAUGAAGGCCUUCGGGUUGUAAAGCACUUUUGGCAGGGAAGAAAAGUUUCGGGCUAAUACCCUGGAGCGAUGACGGUACCUGCAGAAUAAGCACCGGCUAACUACGUGCCAGCAGCCGCGGUAAUACGUAGGUUGCAAGCGUUAAUCGGAAUUACUGGGCGUAAAGCGUGCGCAGGCGGUUCGGAAAGAAAGAUGUGAAAUCCCAGGGCUUAACCUUGGAACGGCAUGUUUAUCUGUCGAACUCGAGUAUGUCAGAGGGGGGUAGAAGUCCACGUGUAGCAGUGAAAUGCGUAGAGAUGUGGAGGAAUACCGAUGGCGAAGGCAGCCCCCUGGGAUAAUGCUGACGCACAUGCACGAAAGCGUGGAGAGCAAACAGGAUUAGAUACCCCUGUAGUCC